UACGUAGGGGGCUAGCGUUGUCCGGAAUCAUUGGGCGUAAAGCGCGUGUAGGCGGCCCGAUAAGUCCGCUGUGAAAGUCGGGGGCUCAACCCUCGAAAGCCGGUGGAUACUGUCAGGCUAGAGUACGGAAGAGGCGAGUGGAAUUCCCGGUGUAGCGGUGAAAUGCGCAGAUAUCGGGAGGAACACCAAUGGCGAAGGCAGCUCGCUGGGACGGUACUGACGCUGAGACGCGAAAGCGUGGGGAGCAAACAGG
rnacentral:rRNA from 1 species